rnacentral:rRNA from 1 species
CUGCGAUAGCUUAACACAUGCAGUCGAGGGGCAGCAUGGUCAUACCUGUCGCUCAUGCCUAUGGAGACCGGCAUAGGGGAGCGUAGCUCGUAUGUCACGUGCCUUUGAGAGGAGGACUACCCGGAAAAGUCCCGCCUACUACCUCGUGUUCUCAAGAUUGCUGCGUGGCACCUUGAGGACACAUGUCUUGCUCUGAGCCCGGCAUGCAUUCCGUUAUGUAGUUGGUGACGUCUCAGCUCACCCACCCAUACUCAUGCAUGUGCGGAGCAUGAUAAGCUGACCCCCCGCACCGUGAACACGAGACCCAGACCCCACUCCUAGGCGACGCUGCGGUAAUAGAAUAUUGUGCGAUGGAACGCUACUCCGACCCAUGCCACGUCGCGUGAAGAAAGACUGCUCCUAUGGAUUGUACACUUCUUUACUAGGAGAGACAAAUGUCUGGCACGUGUGCCCGUUUGCCUGUAACCUCAGAAUAAGCAUCGGCUAACUCCGUGCCAGCAGCCGCGGUAAU